UACAGAGGUCUCAAGCGUUUGUUCGGAUUCAUUGGGCGUAAAGGGUGCGUAGGCGGCGCGGUAAGUCGGGUGUGAAAUUUCGGAGCUUAACUCCGAAACUGCAUUCGAUACUGGCGUGCUUGAGGACUGGAGAGGAGACUGGAAUUCAUGGUGUAGCAGUGAAAUGCGUAGAGAUCAUGAGGAAGACCAGUGGCGAAGGCGGGUCUCUGGACAGUUCCUGACACUGAGACACGAAGGCCAGGGGAGCAAACGGG
rnacentral:rRNA from 1 species